GAACAAUGUAGGCAAGGGAAGUCGGCAAAAUGGAUCCGUAACUUCGGGAAAAGGAUUGGCUCUGAGGCUGGGCACGGGGGUCCCAGUCCCGAACCCGUCGGCUGUUCGGCGGACUGCUCGAGCUGCUACCGCGGCGAGAGCGGGUCGCCGCGUGCCGGCCCGGGGACGGACUGGGAACGGCUCUUUCGGGGGCCUUCCCCGGGCGUCGCGUAUCAAGGCCCGGGCUUUGGCCGCCCCCGAAUCCUCGCUGGUCCCGCGCCCCGAGUAGAUCGGCGGACCGGCUCUCACCGUUCCACAUACUACCGGGGCGCAUCGCCGGUCUCCAUCCGCUUCCCUCCCGACAAUU
rnacentral:ncRNA from 1 species